rnacentral:rRNA from 1 species
UACGUAGGGGGCAAGCGUUGUCCGGAUUUAUUGGGCGUAAAGAGCGUGUAGGCGGUCAGGUAGGUCCGUUGUGAAAACUCGAGGCUCAACCUCGAGACGCCGAUGGAAACCAUCUGACUAGAGUCCGGAAGAGGAGAGUGGAAUUCCUGGUGUAGCGGUGAAAUGCGCAGAUAUCAGGAGGAACACCGGUGGCGAAGGCGGCCUGCUGGGCAGUAGCUGACGCUGAUGCGCGACAGCGUGGGGAGCAAACAGG